rnacentral:lncRNA from 1 species
UCCUCAUUUUUGGGGGGAAUUUCCCCAUUUUUGGGGUGAAUUUCCCCAUUUUUGGGGGUGAAUUUCCUCAUUCUGGGGUGAAUUUCCCCAUUUUUGGGGGGAAUUUCCUCAUUUUUGGGGUGAAUUUCCCCAUUUCUGGGGUGAAUUUCCGCAUUUCUGGGGUGAAUUUCCCCAUUUUGGGGGUGAAUUUCCUCAUUUUUGGGGGGAAUUUCUCCAUUUUGGGGGGAAUUUCCUCAUUUCUGGGGUGAACUUCCUCAUUUUUGGGGUGAUUUUCCCCAUUUCUGGGGUGGAUUUCCCAAUUUUUGGGGGGAAUUUCCUCAUUUUUGGGGUGAAAUUCCUCAUUUUUGGGGUGAACAUCCUCAUUUUUGGGGUGAAUUUCCCCAUUUUUGGGGGCAAUUUCCCCAUUUUGGGGUGAAUUUCCCCAUUUCUGGGGUGAAUUUCCCCAUUUUUGGGGGGAAUUUCCUCACUUUUGAGGGUGAAUUUCCUCAUUUCUGGGAUGAAUUUCUCCAUUUUUGGGGUGAAUAUCCCCAUUUUUGGGGUGAACUUCCUCAUUUUUGGGGUGAAUUUCCCCAUUUCUGGGGUGAAUUUCCCCAUUUUUGGGGGUGAAUUUCCUCAUUUUUGGGGUGAAUUUCUCCAUUUUGGGGGGAAUUUCCUCAUUUUUGGGGUGAAUUUCCUCAUUUUUGGGGUGAAUUUCCCCAUUUUGGAGGUGAACUUCCUCAUUUUUGGGGUGAAAUUCCCCAUUUCUGGGGUAAAUUUCCUCAUUUUUGGGGUGAAUUUCCUCAUUUUUGGUGUGGAUUUCCACAUUUUGGGGGUGAAUCUCCCCAUUUCUGGGGUGAAUUUCUCCAUUUUUGGGGUGAAUUUCCCCAUUUUUGGGGGUGAAUUUCCUCAUUUUUGGGGUGAAAUUCCCCAUUUCUGGGGUGAAUUUCCCCAUUUUGGGGGGAAUUUCCUCAUUUUUGGGAUGAAUUUCCUCAUUUUUGGGGUGAAUUUCUCCAUUUUGGGGUGAAUUUUCCAUUUUUGGGGGUGAAUUUCCCCAUUUCUGGGGUGAACUUCCUCAUUUUUGGGGUGAAUUUCCUCAUUUUUGGGGGUGAAUUUCCCCAUUUUUGGGGUGAAUUUCCCCAUUUUUGGGGUUUCUCAGAGUCGUGACCCCUCGUUUUUAGGGCUUCUCACACCCGGGGUUCCACUUUUGGGGCAAAUUUGUCCAUUUUUUGGGGGGGUCCUC